UACGGAGGGGGCUAGCGUUGUUCGGAAUUACUGGGCGUAAAGCGCGCGUAGGCGGAUCUGCAAGUCGGGGGUGAAAUCCCGAGGCUCAACCUCGGAACUGCCUUCGAUACUGCGGGUCUCGAGUCCGGGAGAGGUGAGUGGAAUUCCUAGUGUAGAGGUGAAAUUCGUAGAUAUUCGCAAGAACACCAGUGGCGAAGGCGGCUCACUGGCCCGGAACUGACGCUGAG
rnacentral:rRNA from 1 species